CAAUCGCAGCAGCCUUUGGCAGCGUCGAUUGCCAACCCGCGAGCCGCCUCUCGGAAACUUUACCAAGUUUUUACCGACGCGAAAUAUUUUGAAUUUUCUGCGUAAAGUAUUGGACGUUUGUGCGUUUGCUUUCACGUGGAUUUGACAUUAAAAUACGAAGAAAAAGACAAUUAUAAAAACUAUUUAUUAGUUGUUUUGUUUAUAAGGACCGAGAAACUUGACAGUGCGUUUGUGUUUUUUUGAUUGUUUAUCGAAAGUGACACAUAUGUGACAUAGUUUUCGGUGGUUUGGUGAUAGUGAUAAUACAUAUUUUUGGUAGUUUUUGAACGAGAUACUUGAAAGAAAAUAAUCAAAAAACAUGAUUGGAGCUAGAUUAUUGUUAGGAUUCUUCAUUUCGGAGUUUCUUUUAAAAGUGGAAUUGUGUUUAAGUGACCGCAUUUUUCAAUUAAAUUGGGGUGAAUAUUGUGUAGAUGAAAAGAAUAUUUCCUAGCUGCACAAAAUGGAGAAAAACACUUAUAGUAAGGCAGCAAACAGUAUACUUUUAGGUAAGGGAGGAAAUAUUAUAAACCAAUAUAAUCAACUGGAAGUGUUUGGAUUAAAAUAGGGAUACCAAAAUUUGAAGAAAUGGUUGUAUUUAUAUCAAAAAUAUGA